GAAUAGCUAAGUACCCCUUGGUGAAGGAAGUUCAAAUUACGGAAGACAUUUGAGCGAAGCGUUGUGAUUUUUAGCUUCAAUACAGCAGCAGAUACACCAGUAGCUGAGACGAGAUGAAGGCGGCCAGAGUCUUUCUCCUGAUCACGCUUGCGUUGUUUUGCCUGCAGGUUCCCUUGAUUUGCAACAGUGUCGCACAUCCUCUCCACAAAUCAGAACUCACAGGAUUUGAAGAAGGGAUGCGUUUAGAGGAGUUCAAAGUGCCUGCUGCAACCCGGAAGAAUCAGAAGCUGGAACAGCGUCCUCUGCAAAGUCCACCCUCGCGGGCCGGAGGCCGGUAUAAUAAGGAUCGCCCUGGCCGCAGCUUGAGGCUGUUAAGGAGCUAAGGAACAAACAAAUGCGCAAAUUAGCUGAAAUUGUUCCGUUUACCUAGCAAGGAAUACUGCUUAAAGCUCACAAAUGAAUAGAUGAAGUAGAAAUUGUAACCUUCGAGCAAAUAAUGCAAGUGACAAGUAAAUUAAUUCCUUGUCAGUCACAGCACGGGGGAAUGUUUUGAAUAGAAGUAUGGAGAAGUAAUUCGCUUUAGUCAGCUUUUUGCCUUCGGGCCAAAUCUGUAAUCUCAAUACAGUGACUGAAGUUUUUCCAGCUUAUUUAGAACAAAGAUCUGGGCAACUGCACUGUUUUUUUUUUUUUUAUCAGGCUGCUGAAUCACGUUAUAAUAUUUUUGAGCAAUAAUUUAAAUAGAAGGUAUUUACGCAAUCUUUCGGUACUGGUUCUACUAUACACGUAUAUACUCAAUGAUGUAAUUUAUAUAUUCACCUGACGUGUAACGUAAAGGGACGAUUGUACUUUUCAUACGCCAGUUGAAAUUGUUAACGAUAAAUAAAGGGGAAAAGUUGAAUUACAAAAA
rnacentral:lncRNA from 1 species